rnacentral:rRNA from 6 species
GGGUUGUGAGGUUAAGCGACUAAGCGUACACGGUGGAUGCCCUGGCAGUCAGAGGCGAUGAAGGGCGUGCUAAUCUGCGAUAAGCGCCGGUAAGGUGAUAUGAACCGUUAUAACCGGCGAUACCCGAAUGGGGAAACCCAGUGUGAUUCGUCACACUAUCAUUAACUGAAUCCAUAGGUUAAUGAGGCGAACCGGGGGAACUGAAACAUCUAAGUACCCCGAGGAAAAGAAAUCAACCGAGAUUCCCCCAGUAGCGGCGAGCGAACGGGGAGGAGCCCAGAGCCUGAAUCAGCAUGUGUGUUAGUGGAAGCGUCUGGAAAGGCGCGCGAUACAGGGUGACAGCCCCGUACACAAAAGCGCAUGUGCUGUGAGCUCGAUGAGUAGGGCGGGACACGUGGUAUCCUGUCUGAAUAUGGGGGGACCAUCCUCCAAGGCUAAAUACUCCUGACUGACCGAUAGUGAACCAGUACCGUGAGGGAAAGGCGAAAAGAACCCCGGCGAGGGGAGUGAAAAAGAACCUGAAACCGUGUACGUACAAGCAGUGGGAGCCCCACCACUAAGCCAGUGGUGAACUCCACAUCCGCAUCCUUUGCUGAGGAUACGGUUAACGGAGCGAAAGCGACGUUCAACCGCAAAACAAGCAGAGGGGGCUUAGUGGUGGGGUGACUGCGUACCUUUUGUAUAAUGGGUCAGCGACUUAUAUUCUGUAGCAAGGUUAACCGAAUAGGGGAGCCGGAGGGAAACCGAGUCUUAAUUGGGCGUUAAGUUGCAGGGUAUAGACCCGAAACCCGGUGAUCUAGCCAUGGGCAGGUUGAAGGUUGGGUAACACUAACUGGAGGACCGAACCGACUAAUGUUGAAAAAUUAGCGGAUGACCUGUGGCUGGGGGUGAAAGGCCAAUCAAACCGGGAGAUAGCUGGUUCUCCCCGAAAGCUAUUUAGGUAGCGCCUCGUGAAUUCAUCUCCGGGGGUAGAGCACUGUUUCGGCUAGGGGGCCAUCCCGGCUUACCAACCCGAUGCAAACUGCGAAUACCGGAGAAUGUUAUCACGGGAGACACACGGCGGGUGCUAACGUCCGUCGUGAAGAGGGAAACAACCCAGACCGCCAGCUAAGGUCCCAAAGUCAUGGUUAAGUGGGAAACGAUGUGGGAAGGCCCAGACAGCCAGGAUGUUGGCUUAGAAGCAGCCAUCAUUUAAAGAAAGCGUAAUAGCUCACUGGUCGAGUCGGCCUGCGCGGAAGAUGUAACGGGGCUAAACCAUGCACCGAAGCUGCGGCAGCGAACGUAUCACUUAAAGCGAUUCAGCGGGUUACGAUUGACGGAGCGAAGCGACGUCAAAGCGUAUACAAAGUCGAGUCGGUUUAAGGAUACGUUCGUUGGGUAGGGGAGCGUUCUGUAAGCCCGUGAAGGUGGCCUGUGAGGGUUGCUGGAGGUAUCAGAAGUGCGAAUGCUGACAUAAGUAACGAUAAAGCGGGUGAAAAGCCCGCUCGCCGGAAGACCAAGGGUUCCUGUCCAACGUUAAUCGGGGCAGGGUGAGUCGACCCCUAAGGCGAGGCCGAAAGGCGUAGUCGAUGGGAAACGGGUUAAUAUUCCCGUACUUGGUGUUACUGCGAAGGGGGGACGGAGAAGGCUAUGUUGGCCGGGCGACGGUUGUCCCGGUUUAAGCGUGUAGGUGUGUGUUCCAGGUAAAUCCGGUUCACUUUAACACUGAGGCGUGAUGACGAGGCACUACGGUGCUGAAGCAACAAAUGCCCUGCUUCCAGGAAAAGCCUCUAAGCAUCAGGUAACAUCAAAUCGUACCCCAAACCGACACAGGUGGUCAGGUAGAGAAUACCAAGGCGCUUGAGAGAACUCGGGUGAAGGAACUAGGCAAAAUGGUGCCGUAACUUCGGGAGAAGGCACGCUGACACGUAGGUGAAGUGAUUUACUCACGGAGCUGAAGUCAGUCGAAGAUACCAGCUGGCUGCAACUGUUUAUUAAAAACACAGCACUGUGCAAACACGAAAGUGGACGUAUACGGUGUGACGCCUGCCCGGUGCCGGAAGGUUAAUUGAUGGGGUCAGCGCAAGCGAAGCUCCUGAUCGAAGCCCCGGUAAACGGCGGCCGUAACUAUAACGGUCCUAAGGUAGCGAAAUUCCUUGUCGGGUAAGUUCCGACCUGCACGAAUGGCGUAAUGAUGGCCAGGCUGUCUCCACCCGAGACUCAGUGAAAUUGAACUCGCUGUGAAGAUGCAGUGUACCCGCGGCAAGACGGAAAGACCCCGUGAACCUUUACUAUAGCUUGACACUGAACAUUGAGCCUUGAUGUGUAGGAUAGGUGGGAGGCUUUGAAGUGUGGACGCCAGUCUGCAUGGAGCCGACCUUGAAAUACCACCCUUUAAUGUUUGAUGUUCUAACGUGGACCCGUAAUCCGGGUUGCGGACAGUGUCUGGUGGGUAGUUUGACUGGGGCGGUCUCCUCCUAAAGAGUAACGGAGGAGCACGAAGGUUGGCUAAUCCUGGUCGGACAUCAGGAGGUUAGUGCAAUGGCAUAAGCCAGCUUGACUGCGAGCGUGACGGCGCGAGCAGGUGCGAAAGCAGGUCAUAGUGAUCCGGUGGUUCUGAAUGGAAGGGCCAUCGCUCAACGGAUAAAAGGUACUCCGGGGAUAACAGGCUGAUACCGCCCAAGAGUUCAUAUCGACGGCGGUGUUUGGCACCUCGAUGUCGGCUCAUCACAUCCUGGGGCUGAAGUAGGUCCCAAGGGUAUGGCUGUUCGCCAUUUAAAGUGGUACGCGAGCUGGGUUUAGAACGUCGUGAGACAGUUCGGUCCCUAUCUGCCGUGGGCGCUGGAGAACUGAGGGGGGCUGCUCCUAGUACGAGAGGACCGGAGUGGACGCAUCACUGGUGUUCGGGUUGUCAUGCCAAUGGCACUGCCCGGUAGCUAAAUGCGGAAGAGAUAAGUGCUGAAAGCAUCUAAGCACGAAACUUGCCCCGAGAUGAGUUCUCCCUGAGACUUAGAGUCUCCUGAAGGAACGUUGAAGACGACGACGUUGAUAGGCCGGGUGUGUAAGCGCAGCGAUGCGUUGAGCUAACCGGUACUAAUGAACCGUGAGGCUUAACCUUACAACGCCGAAG